CAGUUUUGGUCAAUGCCCAAGCCAUCAGGCCAAGUGCUAUUUUCAGCUCCAGUAGCUCCCUUGUUUUGCGAGUUCAGCCCAGACAGGAAACCACCCAGUCUGGGAGGAUUCGGUUAGAUCCCAAAAGAACACGCACACUCAGGUGCAAGACCUUCAAGGCAGUAAGGGAUGUUCCAGUUAAUCACACACUGCCUAAGAAGUGAACAAGCAAGUCAUUGUUUUUCCAAGGGAUGAAUGCUAUUUGGGGUUAAUACCUGAACUGGGGUAAAGUACUCUCCUGGAGGGGGAGCCAAGCUGUUUUAUUCAAUUCAGCUCACGAGGUUUUGGUGUUCUGGAACUUUAAAAACACAGCUGAGGGAUAUACUACUUCAGAAACACUGAAAUACAUGGCAACGGCUUUGGAUAUAAAUGCCCUGUGCUCCUCAACCAAACUUCUAGAGGCCUCAAAUCUAUGUCACUAUGGACAUUCCAGUUACUGUCAGGAACAAGAAAAGUGCUUGUCUUCUUUCUCUACCCUCAUCCAGGCCACAGCAUCUUCUCACAGCCAGGACCAAUGGAUACAAGCAAAUCCACAGGCUGCCGUGAGAUAUGCACCCCAGUAAGGACCAAAAGGAAAAGAGAAGAGAAGAGAAGAGAA